rnacentral:rRNA from 1 species
UACGUAGGGGGCGAGCGUUGUCCGAAGUUACUGGGCGUAAAGCGCGCGUAGGCGGUCUUUUAAGUCUGGGGUGAAAGGUUCAACGCUCAACGUGAACAGUGCCUUGGAUACUGGGAGACUUGAGUUCGGGAGAGGGCAGUGGAAUUCCGGGUGUAGCGGUGAAAUGCGUAGAUAUCCGGAGGAACACCGAUGGCGAAGGCAACUGCCUGGCCUAGAACUGACGCUGAGGUGCGAAAGCGUGGGGAGCGAACGGG